AUGUACUUCACUCAGGACUGGAACUGGAAGGUCUGAUACUAAUACUAGAAUAGAAACCUGCUACUUCUACUCUACUUUAACCACUACAAAGUCAAUUUCAAGACUGUUUAACUAUUUCUUUGUCUACAUCUAUUGUGUGUAAUAUAUAUAUAUAUAUAUAUAUAUAUAGCAGCACUACACCACAUCUUAAUGCUCAACUCUCUCCCCUUUCUCUUUCUUCUAUAAUCAAGAUGGCUAUGGGUUCAUCACCCUUGUUCUUAAUUCAUCACCCCCCUCAUACCAUCAAGAAGACUUCCACAAGAAUAUCAAUGCUUGCAACCCAAAACACAUCUUCAUCUCUCAUUCAGAUCGGAUCCUCCAUCAAUAUACAAAAGGUUUUUGAAGACAAAUCUAGAGGCAUAGUAUGCUACUUGGAUGAUAAAGGGGAGAUAACAUGUGAAGGAUAUGAUGAAGGACCUCGUUUUGCUACCCUUCAUCAUCAUCAGACAUUCUCUCCUACUUAUAAUCAGAGCACAAGUCAACAAGACAUCCUUCGUCUUCUGAAUAGGAGUCUCCUUCUUCAAGUUAUAGAUGCUGCUGCUGCUGCUGCUGCUGGGAAUCCCAACUAACCAUAUGGAAUGGACAACGCCUUCUAACUCCUCUAUACCCCCUUAUCUCUCUCUCCCUAGAGAUGAAAGGAGGGAGGUUCAUCUGACUUAAAUAAAUUAAAGCAUCCCUGUUAAUUUCUAUGCUCACAAACACAACCCCACAGGAAUUCAAGACUGUCCCUUGCUCUCUCUCUCUCUCUCUAUGUAUGUAUAUGUGUGUGUAUGUAUGUAUGUACGUACAUGUCUCUCCUAUAUAAAUACAAUUGCAUGCUGCAGUUGUGAGUUUGUGUAUAAUUAAUGAAAUAAAAAAUCAUCAAUUUCUCUG